rnacentral:rRNA from 1 species
GUGGGGAAUAUUGCACAAUGGGGGAAACCCUGAUGCAGCAACGCCGCGUGAGCGAAGAAGGCUUUCGAGUCGUAAAGCUCUGUCCCAAGGGAAGAAAUAAUAUGACGGUACCUUGGGAGGAAGCCCCGGCUAACUACGUGCCAGCAGCCGCGGUAAUACGUAGGGGGCAAGCGUUAUCCGGAAUCAUUGGGCGUAAAGGGUGCGUAGGCGGCCAAAUAAGUCAGAAGUGAAAGGCUACGGCUUAACCGUGGUAAGCUUUUGAAACUGUAUGGCUUGAGUGCAGGAGAGGAGAGUGGAAUUCCUGGUGUAGCGGUGAAAUGCGUAGAUAUCAGGAAGAACACCGGUAGCGAAGGCGACUCUCUGGACUGUAACUGACGCUGAGGCACGAAAGCGUGGGGAGCGAACAGGAUUAGAAACCCUAGUAGUCC